UUUGUUUUUUAAUUAAAAACUAGAAUGAAAGGUUAUACAUUCAAAUUUCUUUAUUAAUUUUUAAUAAAUAAUUUAUAUUAAAUAUAAAAAUAUAUUUAUAAAAAAAAAAGACGACAAGACCCUAUUAAAUUUUACUUAUAGUUUAGCUGGGGAAGCUUUUCAAUUAAAAUUUUUUAAAAUCUUAAAAUAAAUAUCUAAUUAAAAUUAAAAUUUAAAUAAAUUACUAUAGGGAUAACAGCAUUAUAUUUUUUAAAAGUUCAUAUUAAAAAAAAAUGAUUGUGACCUCGAUGUUGAAUUAUAUUUUCUAUAUUUAAUGCAAUAAUUAUAAAAGUAGAUCUGUUCGAUCUUUAAAAUAUUACAUGAUUUGAGUUCAAACCGGUGUAAACCAGGUUGGUUUCUAUCUUUUUAUAUAUAUUUUUCCAGUACGAAAGGACAAAAAAAUUUUUAUUUUAAUAAAUUAGCAAAUAAAUGCAUUAGAUUUAGAAUCUAAAUAUAUUUAAAUU
rnacentral:misc_RNA from 1 species